rnacentral:tRNA from 1 species
GGGGGUGUAGUUCAGUGGUAGAGCACUUGCCUACCAUGCAUGAGGUCCUGGAAUUCAUCCUCA